rnacentral:rRNA from 1 species
UGGGGAAUAUUGCACAAUGGGGGAAACCCUGAUGCAGCAACGCCGCGUGAAGGAAGAAGUAUUUCGGUAUGUAAACUUCUAUCAGCAGGGAAGAAAAUGACGGUACCUNNNGUAGAAGCCCCGGCUAACUACGU